AUGGCGCCUCUGGGGGUGAAGGAGCAGGGGAGGGCCAAGAGGACAGUGGUGUGGGGUGGAGCAGCGAGGCCGGCGGCCCAGACGGCGGACGCCUCACGGGGUGGAGGAGAGGCCGGCGAUAGGGAAGGAUCAGAAUCCUCAUGGAGCAGCAGGGAAGGUGAAGUCCCGACGGCUGAAGAUGGUGCGCAUGGGAGGAGCUCGGGUGAUGUCAAGGUUGGAGAGGUUAUUUUUGGCGUGGAGGUCUUUUUCAAUUUUUCUGAAGUUAGACUUUUUUCCAGUUCCCCAAGCACGUUCGUCAUGUUAACUAAAGUGUUACCUACCAAAAUUGUAUCAUUGAUCCCACACAAUGGUUAG
rnacentral:rRNA from 1 species